rnacentral:rRNA from 1 species
UAAAGUGGGGGAUCUUCGGACCUCACGCUAUCAGAUGAGCCUAGGUCGGAUUAGCUAGUUGGUGGGGUAAAGGCCUACCAAGGCGACGAUCCGUAACUGGUCUGAGAGGAUGAUCAGUCACACUGGAACUGAGACACGGUCCAGACUCCUACGGGAGGCAGCAGUGGGGAAUAUUGGACAAUGGGCGAAAGCCUGAUCCAGCCAUGCCGCGUGUGUGAAGAAGGUCUUCGGAUUGUAAAGCACUUUAAGUUGGGAGGAAGGGCAGUAAGUUAAUACCUUGCUGUUUUGACGUUACC